rnacentral:rRNA from 1 species
CUACGUGCCAGCAGCCGCGGUAAUACGUAGGUGGCAAGCGUUGUCCGGAAUUAUUGGGCGUAAAGCGCGCGCAGGCGGAUCGGUCAGUCUGUCUUAAAAGUUCGGGGCUUAACCCCGUGAUGGGAUGGAAACUGCCAAUCUAGAGUAUCGGAGAGGAAAGUGGAAUUCCUAGUGUAGCAGUGAAAUGCGUAGAUAUUAGGAAGAACACCAGUGGCGAAGGCGACUUUCUGGACGAAAACUGACGCUGAGGCGCGAAAGCCAGGGGAGCGAACGGGAUUAGAUACCCCGGUAGUCCUGGCCGUAAACGAUGGGUACUAGGUGUAGGAGGUAUCGACCCCUUCUGUGCCGGAGUUAACGCAAUAAGUACCCCGCCUGGGGAGUACGACCGCAAGGUUGAAACCCAAAGGAAUUGACGGGGGCCCGCACAAGCGGUGGAGUAUGUGGUUUAAUUCGACGCAACGCGAAGAACCUUACCAGGUCUUGACAU